AGUGAACGCUGGCGGUAGGCCUAACACAUGCAAGUCGAACGGCAGCACAGUAAGAGCUUGCUCUUACGGGUGGCGAGUGGCGGACGGGUGAGGAAUACAUCGGAAUCUACUUUUUCGUGGGGGAUAACGUAGGGAAACUUACGCUAAUACCGCAUACGACCUACGGGUGAAAGCAGGGGAUCUUCGGACCUUGCGCGAUUGAAUGAGCCGAUGUCGGAUUAGCUAGUUGGCGGGGUAAAGGCCCACCAAGGCGACGAUCCGUAGCUGGUCUGAGAGGAUGAUUAGCCACACUGUAACUGAGACACGGUCCAUACUCCUACGGGAGGCAGCAGUGGGGAAUAUUGGACAAUGGGCGCAAGCCUGAUCCAGCCAUACCGCGUGGGUGAAGAAGGCCUUCGGGUUGUAAAGCCCUUUUGUUGGGAAAGAAAAGCAGCAGGUUAAUACCCCGCUGUUCUGACGGUACCCAAAGAAUAAGCACCGGCUAACUUCGUG
rnacentral:rRNA from 1 species